rnacentral:misc_RNA from 1 species
ACAUCUCAACUCUCACGGUUCGCCGUGAUGAGCUUGGACUUUGGGGGUCUUGCCGGCCUGCGGGUUGGCUCCUCUCAAAUUGAUCAGCUUGCCAGUGUUUGGUGGCAUCACGUGUGUGAUAACUAUCUACGCUCGUGGUUCUCCGCCAGGUAACCUUCGGUGACGGAGGUUCGCUGGAGCUCACAAACGUCUCUCCUCAGUGAGGACAGCUUUUUAAC